rnacentral:lncRNA from 1 species
UGUUGUUGUAGUAUUACAAAAUGCACAAAUGAUUCCGAUUUAAGUUAUUUACAUUGACAUUGUAAGCCGGGGGUCUAUCGGAAACCGCCUCUCUACUUCUCUUAAGGUAGUGGCAUGAUCUGCGUACACUCUACCCUCCCCAGACCCCACUAGGUGGGAAUACACUGGGUAUGUUGUUGUUGUUGUACACUGACAUUGUAAAGAUAAGAGACUAUAAGUGAUAUCUUUCCUAAAAGCCUUUGUGGAUAAUCCUUAAGUGAAGCAAUUUUUCUUGAACUUUUCAUAUUGCAAUUUGUCUGAAUAGUUACAUUAGGAUUUGAUCUUUGGUUUAACUGUUGUGCAGGCAAAAAUCCAAGAAAGCUUGAU